UUUUAAAUAUAAAUUGAAUUCAAGUUAAAUUUGAACAUUUGGGGGAUAUUUACGUCAUUUUCUAAUUAUUUAUUUUAUUCUUGGAUGUAUUCUUAACAUCAACCAAACAUGUACAUGGAAUAUAAAAAAAUUAUUCCAUUCCUUUCCUUAUUCCAUUCCCUUCAUUAUUCAAUUCCUUCGAUCUAAACGUAUGAUAAGAGUGCAAAAGACAUUGAUUGAAUUCUUG
rnacentral:lncRNA from 1 species